rnacentral:tRNA from 1 species
GGGCUGCUAGCUCAACUGGCAGAGCAGCGGACUUUUAAUCCGCGGGUUCAGGGUUCGAUCCCCUGGCGGCCCA